rnacentral:rRNA from 1 species
UGGGGAAUAUUGCGCAAUGGGGGCAACCCUGACGCAGCAACGCCGCGUGCGGGACGACGGCCUUCGGGUUGUAAACCGCUUUCAGCAGGGAAGAUAGUGACGGUACCUGCACAAGAAGCCCCGGCUAACUACGUGCCAGCAGCCGCGGUAAUACGUAAGGUCCGAGCGUUGUCCGGAAUCAUUGGGCGUAAAGGGUACGUAGGCGGAUAAGCAAGUUAGAAGUGAAAUCCUAUAGCUCAACUAUAGUAAGCUUUUAAAACUGCUCAUCUUGAGGUAUGGAAGGGAAAGUGGAAUUCCUAGUGUAGCGGUGAAAUGCGCAGAUAUUAGGAGGAAUACCGGUGGCGAAGGCGACUUUCUGGCCAUAUACUGACGCUGGGGUACGAAAGCGUGGGUAGCAAACAGG